UGCAGUCGAACGGCAGCACGAGAGAGCUUGCUCUCUUGGUGGCGAGUGGCGGACGGGUGAGUAACGCGUAGGGAUCUACCCUAAAGCGGGGGACAACUCGGGGAAACUCGAGCUAAUACCGCGUACGACCCUUCUGGGUGAAAGUGAGCCUCUGCUAUAAGCUCACGCUUUAGGAUGAACCUGCGUCCGAUUAGCUAGUUGGUAAGGUAAAGGCUUACCAAGGCGACGAUCGGUAGCUGGUCUGAGAGGACGACCAGCCACACUGGAACUGAGACACGGUCCAGACUCCUACGGGAGGCAGCAGUGGGGAAUAUUGGACAAUGGGGGCAACCCUGAUCCAGCAAUGCCGCGUGUGUGAAGAAGGCCCGAGGGUUGUAAAGCACUUUCAGUGGGGAGGAGCGGACGCUAAUUAAUAGUUAGUGUCUAAGACGUUACCCACAGAAGAAGCACCGGCUAACUCUGUGCCAGCAGCCGCGGUAAUACAGAGGGUGCGAGCGUUAAUCGGAAUUACUGGGCGUAAAGCGCGUGUAGGUGGACAAGUCAGUUGGAUGUGAAAUCCCCGGGCUCAACCUGGGAGGGUCAUACAAAACAGCUUGUCUAGAGAUCAGUAGAGGGAAGUGGAAUUUCAGGUGUAGCGGUGAAAUGCGUAGAUAUCUGAAGGAACACCAGUGGCGAAGGCGGCUUCCUGGGCUGAGACUGACACUGAGGCGCGAAAGCGUGGGUAGCGAACAGGAUUAGAUACCC
rnacentral:rRNA from 1 species